UACGGGGGGGGCAAGCGUUGUUCGGAAUUACUGGGCGUAAAGGGCUCGUAGGCGGCCAACUAAGUCAGACGUGAAAUCCCUCGGCUUAACCGGGGAACUGCGUCUGAUACUGGAUGGCUUGAGAUUGGGAGAGGGAUGCGGAAUUCCAGGUGUAGCGGUGAAAUGCGUAGAUAUCUGGAGGAACACCGGUGGCGAAGGCGGCAUCCCGGACCGACACUGACGCUGAGGAGCGAAAGCCAGGGGAGCAAACGGG
rnacentral:rRNA from 1 species